CUACGGGGUGCUGCAGUGAGGAAUAUUGCACAAUGGGGGGAACCCUGAUGCAGCAACGCCGCGUGGAGGAUGACGCAUUUCGGUGUGUAAACUCCUUUUAUAUGUCAAGAAAAUGACGGUAGCAUAUGAAUAAGCACCGGCUAACUCCGUGCCAGCAGCCGCGGUAAUACGGAGGGUGCAAGCGUUACUCGGAAUCACUGGGCGUAAAGGACGCGUAGGCGGGUUGGAAAGUCAGGUGUGAAAUCCUACAGCUUAACUGUAGAACUGCACUUGAAGCUUCUAAUCUAGAGUAUGGGAGGGGGAGAUGGAAUUAGUGGUGUAGGGGUAAUAUCCGUAGAUAUCACUAGGAAUACCUAAAGCGAAGGCGAUCUCCUGGAACAUUACUGACGCUAAGGCGUGAAAGCGUGGGGAGCAAACAGGAUUAGAUACCCUAGUAGUC
rnacentral:rRNA from 1 species